AACGAACGCUGGCGGCAGGCCUAACACAUGCAAGUCGAACGCCCUCUUCGGAGGGAGUGGCAGACGGGUGAGUAACGCGUGGGAACCUACCUAGUAGUACGGAACAACACAGAGAAAUUUGUGCUAAUACCGUAUACGCCCUACGGGGGAAAGAUUUAUCGCUAUUAGAUGGGCCCGCGUUGGAUUAGCUAGUUGGUGAGGUAACGGCUCACCAAGGCGACGAUCCAUAGCUGGUCUGAGAGGAUGAUCAGCCACACUGGGACUGAGACACGGCCCAGACUCCUACGGGAGGCAGCAGUGGGGAAUAUUGGACAAUGGGCGCAAGCCUGAUCCAGCCAUGCCGCGUGAGUGAUGACGGCCCUAGGGUUGUAAAGCUCUUUCAACGGUGAAGAUAAUGACGGUAGCCGUAGAAGAAGCCCCGGCUAACUUCGUGCCAGCCGCCGCCGUAACAC
rnacentral:rRNA from 1 species